UGGGGAAUAUUGCACAAUGGGCGCAAGCCUGAUGCAGCCAUGCCGCGUGUAUGAAGAAGGCCUUCGGGUUGUAAAGUACUUUCAGUCGGGAGGAAGGUGGUAAGGUUAAUAACCUUAUCAAUUGACGUUACCGACAGAAGAAGCACCGGCUAACUCCGUGCCAGCAGCCGCGGUAAUACGGAGGGUGCAAGCGUUAAUCGGAAUUACUGGGCGUAAAGCGCACGCAGGCGGUUGAUUGAGUCAGAUGUGAAAUCCCCGGGCUUAACCCGGGAAUUGAAUCUGGUACUGGUCAGCUAGAGUCCUGUAGAGGGGGGUUGGAAUUCAUGUGUAGCGGUAAAAUGCGUAGAGAUGUGGAGGAAUACCGGUGGCGAAGGCGGCCCCCUGGACAAAGACUGACGCUCAGGUGCGAAAGCGUGGGGAGCAAACAGG
rnacentral:rRNA from 1 species